UGAAGAUAAUUUCGGGUAUUGUAAGCGCUAUGCAUUUAUCUCUACUUUAAAACAUUAAUAAUCCAGUGUGACUUCUACGAUCGUAAUUAUAAUUCGUUAAGAAAUUGAAUUUCAUCACUCAAAGUUCGAAUAUUGAUUAAAAGAUAAUCACGGUUUUUUCAGUUCAACUCGAACAUCCGAACAUCAUUAUCUUGAUUAGGAUCUGUCAUAAAUUGAGUUCAACGUCCUCUUCUUUCGUCAAAAUUGAUUCUUAGUCGUCAGCUGUAAUUCCACGUUCUUCAUAAACUGAUAGUAAUAAAUAUAUAUUAAAGUUUUUUGAAAUAAAAACCGCUAAGUACGUGGUGGUGAGAUUCUGUACAUAUUUCUUGCAUCUUGUUGACAGUUAACUCUAACAUCUGUGGUAUAGAUCUCGAGUAUGGUUCGAGAGUACACUCUUGACUAUGACAGCAUCGAUGGCAAAAGAUAUCCUUAACGAGCGAUUCGUACAAUAACGAGGUUAUAAUACGUGCCAUUUCGACGAUAAAAAUACAGAUAAAAAUAUUUAAAUAAUUUUCUAUACCGUCAUUCAUCUGAGUAAAGGGAAUGAGAACGUCACACGCAUUAUCCAGAAUUUUUCUAGUGUUUUACAGAUGUUCCGAUUCAGAUUAUGGUAAUAAUCGA
rnacentral:lncRNA from 1 species